ACUCCUACGGGAGGCAGCAGUGGGGAAUUUUGGACAAUGGGCGCAAGCCUGAUCCAGCCAUGCCGCGUGCAGGAUGAAGGCCUUCGGGUUGUAAACUGUCUUUUGUACGGAACGAAACGGCUCUUUCUAAUAAAGAGGGCUAAUGACGGUACCGUAAGAAUAAGCACCGGCUAACUACGUGCCAGCAGCCGCGGUAAUACGUAGGGUGCGAGCGUUAAUCGGAAUUACUGGGCGUAAAGCGUGCGCAGGCGGUGAUGUAAGACAGAUGUGAAACUCCCCCGGGCUCAACCUGGGAACUGCAUUUGUGACUGCAUCGCUGGAGUGCGGCAGAGGGGGAUGGAAUUCCGCGUGUAGCAGUGAAAUGCGUAGAUAUGCGGAGGAACACCGAUGGCGAAGGCAAUCCCCUGGGCCUGCACUGACGCUCAUGCACGAAAGCGUGGGAGCAAACAGGAUUAGAUACCCCUGGUAGGAUAGCG
rnacentral:rRNA from 1 species